AAAUCAUUUUCUUGAUGCCUUGUUGGUACUGGAAAGGUUCUUCAAUCGUUCUGCAAAUUUUUGAAUCAUCAACUUCCUUAUCAGAAACCAAGCUUAAUCCUGGGACCUUAAGACCAAUAUUGGUAGAAAGAUAAAGAUGAAGAUCCUGGAGGUAUGAAGAGAUGAAGAUUUGUCUUUCUUCUGCUGAGGAUUUAGCCUUUUCCAAAAUUAGGAGACGUAGAUCUGGCUUAAGAGAGUAUAGAUUCUCUG
rnacentral:lncRNA from 1 species